rnacentral:rRNA from 1 species
UAUCCGGAAUUAUUGGGCGUAAAGGGCUCGUAGGCGGUUCGUCGCGUCCGGUGUGAAAGUCCAUCGCUUAACGGUGGAUCCGCGCCGGGUACGGGCGGGCUUGAGUGCGGUAGGGGAGACUGGAAUUCCCGGUGUAACGGUGGAAUGUGUAGAUAUCGGGAAGAACACCAAUGGCGAAGGCAGGUCUCUGGGCCGUUACUGACGCUGAGGAGCGAAAGCGUGGGGAGCGAACAGGAUUAGAUACCCUGGUAGUCCACGCCGUAAACGGUGGAUGCUGGAUGUGGGGCCCGUUCCACGGGUUCCGUGUCGGAGCUAACGCGUUAAGCAUCCCGCCUGGGGAGUACGGCCGCAAGGCU